ACAUGUAAGAGCUACAUUCUUCAAUGUUGUGGAAAUUUGUUUAGAAGCUAUAGAAAUAAAAUGAAGGCCAAGUAUUAUAACCCUUAUAAUACAGAUGAGGAGAGAUUGUGCCAUCGACCUCCACACUUAUCGGAUGAUGAUUGGAGGUGGCUCAUCCACUUUUGGGGUACACCUGAGGCCAAGGAUAUCUCAGAAAAAAACAAGGCAAAUAGGGCAAAGCAAGUGAUAAAGCAUACAUCGGGAU